rnacentral:lncRNA from 1 species
GGGCAGUCACCUAAAAUGUGUCUCGAUGUCAAGACUGACAUUGCCACGUGCAGAGCAAGAGGAUAUGAAAAGCUUUCAUGGUUGAAGUUCCUGAGGAAGGCAGGUCCCAGCAGCAGUGUGACAAGUUAAUUUGGACCCCAUGUAAGCCUAAUUUGGGCUCCUCUGUAAAACAGAAAGCUCUUCUUUGGCUUCACAUAGCUAUCUGUACCUGAGAAUGCUGCAGACCCAGCUCUGCUUUCUGUUCCGAUUCUCAGCUUGUAUGUUGAGGUCCACACCGACACUGCAGAUCAGCUUCCAAACCAAAGGCAGCUCAAUGGACUUCAGAUGAACAGGGGAAAUGCAUUUAUUUUCCCUCCAUCCUCACUCAGGCAUGGAUUGUUGGCUUCUCCUGGCCUCCGAGAAGCUUCUGGGGCUUUCUGGUCUACACAAGGACAAGAGAAAGAGAAGUUUAUCCCUGAAUCAGAAAAUUUUCUGAAACUGCAGACAUACAAUUUUCAAACAUGCAUUGAGAGGCCACUUUCUCAGCUGUGA